AGUGAACGCUGGCGGUAGGCCUAACACAUGCAAGUCGAACGGCAGCACAGUAAGAGCUUGCUCUUACGGGUGGCGAGUGGCGGACGGGUGAGGAAUACAUCGGAAUCUACUUUUUCGUGGGGGAUAACGUAGGGAAACUUACGCUAAUACCGCAUACGACCUACGGGUGAAGGCAGGGGAUCUUCGGACCUUGCGCGAUUGAAUGAGCCGAUGUCGGAUUAGCUAGUUGGCGGGGUAAAGGCCCCCCAAGGCGACGAUCCGUAGCUGGUCUGAGAGGAUGAUCAGCCACACUGGAACUGAGACACGGUCCAGACUCCUACGGGAGGCAGCAGUGGGGAAUAUUGGACAAUGGGCGCAAGCCUGAUCCAGCCAUACCGCGUGGGUGAAGAAGGCCUUCGGGUUGUAAAGCCCUUUUGUUGGGAAAGAAAAGCAGCAGGUUAAUACCCCGCUGUUCUGACGGUACCCAAAGAAUAAGCACCGGCUAACUUCGUG
rnacentral:rRNA from 1 species